CCACCAUCCUAGAUAAACUAUUUUUUUAAGAAUAUGGCAUUCUGACUCACAAUCACAUUAUGAUCUUGUGAAAAGUAGAAGUAAUAUCCUAUUGAUUAUUUUGGAUAUCCUAUAAAAUAAGCUAUUACAGAUCUAUCCUUCAAUUUAUCAGUCAUUUAUCUCUUGACAUAUAUAGGUCGGACAUCUCUCAAUCUUAAGAUAAUCUAGAUUCGACUUCUUACCGUACCA
rnacentral:lncRNA from 1 species